rnacentral:lncRNA from 1 species
AUUUGGCUUUUUUAUUUUUGAUAUUUAUAUUUUUGAUUUAAAGGAGGGGCAUUUUAUGAAAAUUUGAAAGUCAAUGGGGGCAAAAUGGGAACUCUAGGGAAGGAGAGAUUUAUUCACACCUCUCUCAUGAGAAUCAAUCUCUCAUUCCCCAUUCCCAAAUAGUGGUGGACUCCACAAUUCUGAUUCCAAUUCCUACUUUAGUUUUGCGAAGUAAACGUCGUCAAUCAUUUUAAUUAUGAAUUUUGAUUCUCCAAUCCCAUAAGUAUACUAUAGAAAGAAGUUUAAUUAGAAUUUUCUUCUUUCUUCCAAGUAAACAAUCAUAUUCAACUUCAACUGUCAUUUUCUUGGAAUAAUCUACCACUAAUCAAUUUUUUUUUUUUUUUGGGAUGGCAAUACUACUAAUAAUUAAUAUAUAGUCUAUAGCCUUGACCGCCUUUUUCUAAUUUCGUUCAUUUAGAAGUUCCCAUACCGGUGACAAGAAAUAUGAGUCACAACAAUCUUUUCAUUAGAAGAGAAAUACUAAUAUUUAGUUUGAUACCUACAAAACUUUUUGAGUCAGUCUGGCAAUAACGCAAUCUAAAUAAUUAUGUUAUACAUAUAUAGUUAAUUGUGAUACACACACACGCACACGCACACGCACACAUAUAUAUAAGGUUUAGUUCAACCAUCUCCUCGCCUAAAUCUUUCUCGCUCAUUUUGCCCAAACUGUAUCGUAUAGCAAGGCGAGCACAAUAAAGCCCCAAGAAAAGUCUUAUUGUAGUCACCCUAUUUUAUCACCCAAAGAUUUUAAAUUAGACACUUUAGUUUAAUAGUCAUAUUUAUAAUGUACCAUAAUGUUUAAUUCUGCAUUACUAGAAAUAUUGUUUAAAAAAGGAAACUCAGUUGUUGAUAGUUUGGCAAAUCUUGACUUAUUUUGACCAUUAUACUUCGUUAGAUAGCCCGCCUAUUAACAUUCUUCUUGCGUGAAGAUUCUUAGCCUUUACAUUAGUGCCGAUUUGCAACGUUUUAUAUCUAUAUUAACCUUUUAUCUUCUUCAUCUCUUUUGUGCUCAUAAAAAAAAAAGUAAAAUAACAAAACAAAGGUCUUUGAUGUGAAUGGAAAUGAACAUUACUCCUUAACCAUUCAUUAUUUGUCGCGUGUAUAUACGUAUCAUCAUAAUUGAUUUAAGUGUACACAUGAUAAUUAGUGAAUGAAAAAUGAACAAUAACCAAAGAAUACAAAAAAAAACUUUCCUAAUGCUAGACAUACGAGUUCAGUAAUGCCUACCAAUAAUUCAUUUAGUGCUAUAAAUUUUGUUUUAAGUAUAAGAAUAAGAGGGAUUAUAUUUAUAAAACUAGAAUAGAGUCUCGCAAGAUAACCACACACUAGAGUUAUGUUUUGAGAGUGGCUAAAUCUUUCAAUCAUAUGAUGUCGUUUCGAAAAAGAAUUAUGUUAAAACUAAAAGCAUGACAUGAUAGUUUGCCGCUCACCACAAAAAUAAUAAUGUUUUAGAGUAAUAAGUACUUUCAAAUUAUUUUUAUUUUUAAAGUACCUUCAAAUUCGUUGGCAUGGAUAAUCUUGUCCUACGUAAAACGAGAGAAUGCAAAGUCUCAUCUACAACAUCAUUUGUCCAUGUGGCCAUGUCUAGGAACUAGUAGUUUCCACCUCAUCAUUUGAACUAUUACAAGGAAGAAUCUUGGUUGGUUGGGUAGGGUUGCCCUAGUCAAUUAUUCUAUUUGCUCCAAACACAGAAGCCUUGUUCUCCAUUAAAUAAUAAUAAGGUUGUUGUUAUAAAGUUGAGAUCGUGUAUCGAAUUGACCUAAUAAAUAACGCCGAAAAAAUAUAUUACCAAUUUAUCACAUGGCUAUGUAAUAAUAAUAACAUGAAAGGUUACAUAAAUAUGACAAUUAAUUUUUGGAAAAUUAUCUAUCGUUCACUCGUUUUUUCAUUGUUUUUAAAAAAUACACAAUUUUUUUUUUACAACACUCCACCUGAAAUUAACAUUUUUUUCAUUGGUCCACUCUCAUUAUAAUACCGUUAGAACUUUGCUGACAUCAUAAGGGUAAAAUUGUCAUUUCACAACAACACAAUGGUGGAAAGGUGCAAAAUAAUAUAACUUCAAGUGGAGUUUAGCAAAAAA